CUGUGUGAAGGCAAAGCUUCUGGAAGGCUGGCUGGACCAGCACAGGAGAGUUGAGCUUAGGUCAGUGUGUAUGUGUUGCGCUCAUUCACCGAGUUGUAAUUUAGCUGUCAAGACCUGAAUCCACCGAUGAAACCAGACGUUUUUUUCAUUGCAGCGCUUCACUGUCAUGGUGCACAGUAGAGGUCUGCGCAGAACCGAUUUCUUCAUCCUGCUCCCACCACACCCGCUGGCUUUCGGGUCUGACUCCUACCAGCUACUGCAAGAACUGGUCCCAAAAACAACAGUAGUCCCGCAAUAUAAUUUUUUACAUGAUGUCUAGACCAGGCACAAAGAUGCAUCCGUGUGCGCCAUCGUGCGCAUGUUGAUUUUGUACAUCCACACCAGACGCGAUCCAGACACACAGGUUGAAAUAUCAAAACAAACUCUGUCCCAACUAUAUUAAUUUGGGGACAGGUCGAAACAAAUUUAAUAUUAAUGGACAUUUAAGCUAGCUCGACCUUCUGUUGCUAGCUAAUUUGUCCUGGGAUAUAAACAUUGGGAUGUUAUUUUACCUGAAAUGCACAAGGUUCUUUUUUUCUGUGUCUUUUUAGAAUUUGGACGCAUUUUGAGUCACACAAAUUAGUGUGUUCUCUACUCAGACAUUUAAUCCACAGAUAUAAAAAGGGAAUCUAAUAGUUUCUAGUAAAAUCUCCUCCUUCAGUAGUAGUAGCAAAGAUUUUUAUAACUAAACCAAGAUAGACCACAGCCCGUUGUUUUAAAUGGGAACCAAUGAGUCAUAGUGAGCAGAACAAGCAAGGAGGUGGGCAGAGCCAAGCACAAGCUAGCGAGAUCUUAUUGGUGCGUUCUAGCAUACAUUUGCAUAUUUCAGUUAGGGAAUGACUUCUCUGUUAAGCGUGUGUGCAAUAACUCAAUUCUCCUUUGCACACCUCCUAAACAACCCAAUUUUUAAAAAUUUUAGCAAAGGGUAAAGUAUACAAAACUUAGUCCACUCUGUUCGUAACAGAUUCUAGUUUUGGGAACAGAAAACGGUAUUGAGAUGAAAUGUUUCAUCGAUGAGAAAAUUAGCAGAACGAUGGCCAAAAUCCAUCUUUUUCCAUCUUCUCCCCACUGCCGGCCACUGGGCUUCCUCUCACUACCAAAUAUGGUAGUGAGUGGAAACGCCAAACGGAUGCUUCACAUUUAUACACCCGGGGAGUUUAAUAUCUGUCUCAUUGUUCUAUCUGUGGUGGUAGUCUUUUUCUUCUUCUGUGGACUUUAUAUGUCAGUUGGCAACCAACUUUUAAGUUGCAUUACCACCACCAACUAGAUUGGAGUGUGGACCUCAAGUUCUAUUUUAGCACCUGCCUACGCAGACGGUCGUUGACGCACUCGAGUAGUUUAGAUAAAAACGAUUGAAUAACAUGUAUGUGCACAUUUAUUUUGCAACGCUCGUAUUGUGGUGGGGUCACAGCAUGCUGACCACACCGCUCUCGUUACGUGUGUGAGUGUUGCAAAAUAAAGGUACACAUGUUUUUCAAUCAUUUCAUCCAAACUGCUCGCUCCAGUCAAUGAGCGUCUGCGUAGUCAGUGAAACUGAAUUACAUGCACUCAGAAAUGUCAUUCCUCAAAUAAAGGUGUAAAACACAAAAUGAGACAUAUUUGCAUAUAGUCUGGUGAAGGCUGGCUGAAUUCUGUCAAAGAGUAUAUUCUUUUAUCUCAUCAUGUCUACAGAUUCUCCCUUCUCCCUGUUUUGUUUGCUUGAAAAUGUUGAUACGGAAGAAACUGUAACCAAGCAUUUAUAGCGGCUAAGUAAUGCAUUGCCAUUAAUUGGAAGGUUGGUUAUCCUUCCACAAUGUCAAUUUAUGUAUCAUUAGAUUGACAUUUUUACAAGAUUAAGGGUAACUGGGCAGCUUUCAUAAGGAUGCCUUAUAUGGAAUACAGUAGAAGUAAAGGACUCUGUAUUGAAAACAUGGCCACGUCAGGGGAAAUACCUAUUUAGGCAAUACCUAGCUGCUGGGGUGCUCAGUCUUGGCCCUGGGGGUCUGCCGUCCUGUGGGUUGUCACUCUGGCCUGGGCCUAACACACCUAAAACCAAUAGUGAAUGUUUCACUGAGAUCCUAAAGCUGAGUGGGGUGUGUUGGGUUGGGGCAGGGUGGUGGACCCCUAGGGACAGGACUGGGUGACCCAGCUAAAUUGUGUGCAAGUAAAAAGACCUCUACAGUACUAUUAGGCCUAUGAGAUUAAUUAUAUGGAGGAUUUGCUGUUUCUGUGUGUUAAUGUAUAUUUGAGGUGUAUGUGUUUUUUGUUGUUUUUUUUGUUUCUAAACCAUUUCCUUGGGAAUUAAAACAAUUAAAGGUGUGAACUGGGAAGGAAAUUGUGUUGGGAGAGAGUUGAGUUAUUGACUAGACUGGUGGGGGUUGGGCGUGCAGGCAGCUCGGGCUGGCUGGUCGGUCUGGCCGAAAUUUGAUAUAGAGGAUGUCUUAAUAAAGACAAUCAAAAGUCUGUAUUUUUUCAAGAAUUGUUGUUUUUUUAGGCUAUUGGUUAAAGGUGCAACACAAUAUUUAUUAUUGAAUUAUCUUUGAUCUAGUUUAGUCUUUAUUUAAUAAUGAUCUCUUACCUAGCUUGAUGACUUUGGGCAUUUUUGCUUACUUUUUGCUCUACAUAGAGACAUAGAGUUGGAUUGUGUAAAAAUUCAGGAAAUAAACUUUCGA